UACGUAGGGUGCAAGCGUUGUCCGGAAUUAUUGGGCGUAAAGAGCUCGUAGGCGGUCUGUCGCGUCGGAUGUGAAAACUCGGGGCUCAACCCCGGGCCUGCAUUCGAUACGGGCAGACUAGAGUUCGGCAGGGGAGACUGGAAUUCCUGGUGUAGCGGUGAAAUGCGCAGAUAUCAGGAGGAACACCGGUGGCGAAGGCGGAUCUCUGGGCCGAUACUGACGCUGAGGAGCGAAAGCGUGGGGAGCGAACAGG
rnacentral:rRNA from 1 species